AUUGAACGCUGGCGGCAUGCCUUACACAUGCAAGUCGAACGGCAGCACGGGUGCUUGCACCUGGUGGCGAGUGGCGAACGGGUGAGUAAUACAUCGGAACGUACCUUAUCGUGGGGGAUAACGCAGCGAAAGCUGUGCUAAUACCGCAUACGCCCUGAGGGGGAAAGCGGGGGAUCGAAAGACCUCGCGCGAUUAGAGCGGCCGAUGCCUGAUUAGCUUGUUGGUGGGGUAAAAGCCCACCAAGGCGACGAUCAGUAGCUGGUCUGAGAGGACGAUCAGCCACACUGGGACUGAGACACGGCCCAGACUCCUACGGGAGGCAGCAGUGGGGAAUUUUGGACAAUGGGGGAAACCCUGAUCCAGCAAUGCCGCGUGAGUGAAGAAGGCCUCGGUUGGUAAAGGUACUCUUUUGUUCUAGGGAAGGAAAACGAACCGGA
rnacentral:rRNA from 1 species